UACGUAGGUGGCAAGCGUUGUCCGGAAUUAUUGGGCGUAAAGCGCGCGCAGGCGGUCCUUUAAGUCUGAUGUGAAAGCCCACAGCUCAACCGUGGAGGGUCAUUGGAAACUGGGGGACUUGAGUACAGAAGAGGAAAGCGGAAUUCCACGUGUAGCGGUGAAAUGCGUAGAGAUGUGGAGGAACACCAGUGGCGAAGGCGGCUUUCUGGUCUGUAACUGACGCUGAGGCGCGAAAGCGUGGGGAGCAAACAGG
rnacentral:rRNA from 1 species